AAAGGGUGCGUAGGCGGUUUGACAAGUCUUAUGUGAAAUCUCUGGGCUCAACCCAGAGUCUGCAUGGGAAACUGUCGGGCUUGAGUAUGGGAGAGGUGAGUGGAAUUUCCGGUGUAGCGGUGAAAUGCGUAGAUAUCGGAAGGAACACCUGUGGCGAAAGCGGCUCACUGGACCAUAACUGACGCUGAUGCACGAAAGCUAGGGGAGCAAACAGGAUUAGAUACCCUUGU
rnacentral:rRNA from 1 species